rnacentral:rRNA from 1 species
GUCCUAGCUGUAAACUAUGCUCACUAGAUAUGGGAGGUAUCGACCCCUCCCGUGUCGACGCUAACGCAUUAAGUGAGCCGCCUGGGGAGUACGGCCGCAAGGUUGAAACUCAAAGGAAUUGACGGGGGCCCGCACAAGCGGUGGAUCAUGUGGUUUAAUUCGACGCAACGCGAAGAACCUUACCUGGGCUUGAAGUGCCGGCAGUAGUUUCCCGGAAAACGGGAGGCGAACCGUCAAGUCGGUCACCGGCAGAGGUGCUGCAUGGCUGUCGU